CAUAGUGCACCUACCUUCGCGCAACCUAGCCCGAAACUCUCCCCGGACCCGAACCUACGGUUGUGACCGUUGGGUCCGGAUCAACCCCUAAUACCACAAACCAUCAUCAGUUUGUACACUAGACUCCCUAACCUAAUAAUCUCGACCGUUCAAUUUCGGUCGAAGGGAUGAGAUAGACCUAACCUAACCUACCUCGCGUGUAUAUAUAUAUUAGCAACCCUAAAUUCUAGGAUCUAUGACCCAUCCCCCAAUCCCGAUUCAGCCGCCGCCAACCACACGUGGUAUCCUCCUUGAUUUCCCCUCCUGCCCAAUCCUGUGGAGCCUCCUCGCUUGACAGUGCCCGAGGCCACCUCCUCUGCUCGAUCCCAGGGGAAUCACAAGUAGCUCAUCCCCGGCAACCAGAUCGCUGGACGUGUCUAGCUCCCAGCAGACGCAAGCGCUCGCCCCGAACUCCUUGAUUCGCCGAGCACGAGCACCACCUCAUGAACGCCUCUUCGGUCGGCCGCCCUGCAGGAGCUUCAUCUGCGCCACCGUCCGGCCGUCGGACCAGCAUGUCCCCAGCUCAUGUCUUUUUUCCUUCUUGGUUCUCCUUCCUCCUACCCUUCUUCCUCCCCUUCUCUCAUGUCUCUCUUGCUCUAUUGCAUCAGGUUCCAGCCAGGGAGUAUGCCAUGAAUGGCUGGCCUUAAGCUUGUGUGGUGAGUCCCUCAAUCACCGGGAACGAGACCAAUGCCUCAAGAUCCGGCGCCCCAAGGCCUCGAUCCGGUUCGUCCCCGUCGCCUUCGGCCAGGACCUCAUCACCCUCGCCGUCCCCGUGUAGUUCUUGCCGGAUCACGCCUCUGCUUCGCCACUGACCAUCGACCCCGAGCCCCUGGUAUGAGAGAAUAAGAUAUGGUUAAGAAUGUAUUGGUGAUGUUUGAGCGAGCUAGGACGCUUACCAGUCAGAAUGCCUCCGGGGUUAUGGCUGAUGGCAUGGGUUCGUGUUACUAAUGAAGAUUUUCCACUUCAAUAUAUAUGAAGACUUGGUCAUGGAGGCCAUAUCUGCAUAAACAGUACGUAAUGGAUGUAAGACUCUUCUUAUUCA